rnacentral:rRNA from 1 species
AACGCUAGCUACAGGCUUAACACAUGCAAGUCGAGGGGCAGCAUGAUUGAAGCUUGCUUCAAUUGAUGGCGACCGGCGCACGGGUGAGUAACGCGUAUCCAACCUUCCGUACACUCAGGAAUAGCCUUUCGAAAGAAAGAUUAAUACCUGAUGGUAUGAUGAGAUUGCAUGAAAUCAUCAUUAAAGAUUCAUCGGUGUACGAUGGGGAUGCGUUCCAUUAGAUAGUAGGCGGGGUAACGGCCCACCUAGUCGACGAUGGAUAGGGGUUCUGAGAGGAAGGUCCCCCACAUUGGAACUGAGACACGGUCCAAACUCCUACGGGAGGCAGCAGUGAGGAAUAUUGGUCAAUGGGCGCGAGCCUGAACCAGCCAAGUAGCGUGAAGGAUGAAGGUCCUACGGAUUGUAAACUUCUUUUAUAAGGGAAUAAAGUCACCUACGUGUAGGUGUUUGUAUGUACCUUAUGAAUAAGCAUCGGCUAACUCCGUGCCAGCAGCCGCGGUAAUACGGAGGAUGCGAGCGUUAUCCGGAUUUAUUGGGUUUAAAGGGAGCGUAGACGGGUCGUUAAGUCAGCUGUGAAAGUUUGAGGCUCAACCUUAAAAUUGCAGUUGAUACUGGCGUCCUUGAGUACGGUUGAGGCAGGCGGAAUUCGUGGUGUAGCGGUGAAAUGCUUAGAUAUCACGAAGAACUCCGAUUG